UACAGAGGUCCCAAGCGUUGUUCGGACUCACUGGGCGUAAAGGGUGCGUAGGUGGCUUGGUAAGUUUGAUGUGAAAUCUCCGGGCUUAACCCGGAAAUGGCAUUGAAUACUAUUGAGCUGGAGGUUUGGAGGGGGGACUGGAAUUCUCGGUGUAGCAGUGAAAUGCGUAGAUAUCGAGAGGAACACCAGUGGCGAAGGCGAGUCCCUGGACAACACCUGACACUGAGGCACGAAAGCUAGGGGAGCAAACAGG
rnacentral:rRNA from 1 species